rnacentral:rRNA from 1 species
GAUGAACGCUGGCGGCGUGCCUAAUACAUGCAAGUCGAGCGAAUGGAUUAAGAGCUUGCUCUUAUGAAGUUAGCGGCGGACGGGUGAGUAACACGUGGGUAACCUGCCCAUAAGACUGGGAUAACUCCGGGAAACCGGGGCUAAUACCGGAUAACAUUUUGAACCGCAUGGUUCGAAAUUGAAAGGCGGCUUCGGCUGUCACUUAUGGAUGGACCCGCGUCGCAUUAGCUAGUUGGUGAGGUAACGGCUCACCAAGGCAACGAUGCGUAGCCGACCUGAGAGGGUGAUCGGCCACACUGGGACUGAGACACGGCCCAGACUCCUACGGGAGGCAGCAGUAGGGAAUCUUCCGCAAUGGACGAAAGUCUGACGGAGCAACGCCGCGCGAGUGAUGAAGGCUUUCGGGUCGUAAAACUCUGUUGUUAGGGAAGAACAAGUGCUUGUUGAAUAAGCUGGCACCUUGACGGUACCUAACCAGAAAGCCACGGCUAGCUACGUGCCAGCAGCCGCCGUAA